CGCGGGCUCAGUCUACCCACAUUGCUCGAGCCAGCUUCCAAGUUGAUGCUUUUGGAUCAUCUUUCAUCUUAGAUGUGACACUAAACCAUUGAAGCAACUUUCCCUUCUUCUGCCACCUCCCAGAGCGGUGGCCUGCAACCAAAGGCUCACUGAUUUCUGCAGUGAAACACGCAGCGAAGAUACAGGAGCUGGGCAGGAAAAUAAAGAAGUGGACCUUACAUCAACAUUUCACACAUCAGGAAAACUGAGGCACAGGAUAGGAGCAUUCUGCAAGUCCUGGGUGCAAGUGAGAGGAAGGAAAUGAAAAAAUUUCCAGCUGGCAUUUCCAGUGGCAGUUCAACACUGAAAUCUUAUUUUCCUUAUUUUGGAUCUUAACCAGUUGUGAAUGCACAUUUGUUCACAUUAAAUGCAGAUGUAAAAUAUCCUGAAAUAUAAUCUGUAAUGACAAAAUAAAGUA